GAUGAACGCUGGCGGCGUGCUUAACACAUGCAAGUCGAACGGGAAGGCCCUGCUUUUGUGGGGUGCUCGAGUGGCGAACGGGUGAGUAACACGUGAGUAAUCUGCCCUGGACUUUGGGAUAACUUCAGGAAACUGGGGCUAAUACCGGAUAGGAGCUCCUGCUGCAUGGCGGGGGUUGGAAAGUUUCGGCGGUUGGGGAUGGACUCGCGGCUUAUCAGCUUGUUGGUGGGGUAGUGGCUUACCAAGGCUUUGGCGGGUAGCCGGCCUGAGAGGGUGACCGGCCACGUUGGGACUGAGAUACGGCCCAGACUCCUACGGGAGGCAGCAGUGGGGAAUAGUGCACAAUGGGCGGAAGCCUGAUGCAGCAACGCCGCGUGCGGGAUGACGGCCUUCGGGUUGUAAACCGCUUUCGCCUGUGACGAAGCGUGAGUGACGGUAAUGGGUAAAGAAGCACCGGCUAACUACGUG
rnacentral:rRNA from 1 species